GAUGAAGAACGCAGCGAAAUGCGAUAAGUAGUGUGAAUUGCAGAAUUCAGUGAAUCAUCGAAUCUUUGAACGCACAUUGCGCCCCUUGGUAUUCCAUGGGGCAUGCCUGUUCGAGCGUCAUUUGUACCUUCAAGCUUUGCUUGGUGUUGGGUGUUUGUCUCGCCUCCGCGUGUAGACUCGCCUCAAAACAAUUGGCAGCCGGCGUAUUGAUUUCGGAGCGCAGUACAUCUCGCGCUUUGCACUCACAACGACGACGUCCAAAAGUACAUUUUUACACUCUUGACCUCGGAUCAGGUAGAGAUACCCGCUGAACUUAAGCAUAUCAAUAAGCGGAGGA
rnacentral:misc_RNA from 1 species